rnacentral:rRNA from 1 species
UACGUAGGGGGCAAGCGUUGUCCGGAUUCAUUGGGCGUAAAGAGCGUGUAGGCGGCCAGGUAGGUCGGUUGUGAAAACUGGAGGCUCAACCUUCAGAGGUCGACCGAAACCAUCUGGCUAGAGUCCGGGAGAGGAGAGUGGAAUUCCCAGUGUAGAGGUGAAAUUCGUAGAUAUUGGGAAGAACACCGGUGGCGAAGGCGGCUCUCUGGACCGAUACUGACGCUGAGGCGGCGAAAGCGUGGGGAGCAAACAGGG